GAAAUCAAGUGUAGGUGGAGCCU
rnacentral:miRNA from 1 species